rnacentral:rRNA from 1 species
CAUGCAGUCGACGAUGACCACUUCGGUGGGGAUUAGUGGCGAACGGGUGAGUAACACGUGGGCAAUCUGCCCUGCACUCUGGGACAAGCCCUGGAAACGGGGUCUAAUACCGGAUACUGAUCURCUUGGGCAUCCAAGUGGUUCGAAAGCUCCGGCGGUGCAGGAUGAGCCCGCGGCCUAUCAGCUUGUUGGUGAGGUAAYGGCUCACCAAGGCGACGACGGGUAGCCGGCCUGAGAGGGCGACCGGCCACACUGGGACUGAGACACGGCCCAGACUCCUACGGGAGGCAGCAGUGGGGAAUAUUGCACAAUGGGCGAAAGCCUGAUGCAGCGACGCCGCGUGAGGGAUGACGGCCUUCGGGUUGUAAACCUCUUUCAGCAGGGAAGAAGCGAAAGUGACGGUACCUGCAGAAGAAGCGCCGGCUAACUACGUGCCAGCAGCCGCGGUAAUACGUAGGGCGCAAGCGUUGUCCGGAAUUAUUGGGCGUAAAGAGCUCGUAGGCGGCUUGUCGCGUCGGUUGUGAAAGCCCGGGGCUUAACCCCGGGUCUGCAGUCGAUACGGGCAGGCUAGAGUUCGGUAGGGGAGAUCGGAAUUCCUGGUGUAGCGGUGAAAUGCGCAGAUAUCAGGAGGAACACCGGUGGCGAA